rnacentral:pre_miRNA from 1 species
UUUAAGUGUAACCAUAAGUUUUCGUGUUCAACUUUGAUCAUCCGUCUUAUUUGAAUUUUUUAAAUAAUAUUUUUAUUGUUAUUAGAUGAUAAAACAUGAUUAAUAUUUUAUGCAUGACUUGUCUUUUUAAUUUUUUUAAAAUUUUUUUAAAUAAGACGGACGGUUAAACGUUGGGCACGGAAACC